UUGAAAGGGAAACGAUUGAAGUCAGUCGUACCAGCGGGAAAUCAACCUUUCGAGUGGGGUUUUGGAGUUUUGAAGUGUGUUAAAACCUUUGAGAUUUCAAUAUUUUCGCUCUUUUGGUGUACCUUCUCGCAGGUAGGUUAGCAUCGAUUUUGAUCAUCAUAAAAGGAUUGGAGGAAUGUAGCUUCGAUCUCGUAUUGAAGUGUUAUAGCCUUUGGUAAAUGUGAUGAUUAGGAUCGAGGAUUGCAACGAAUACCCUUUUGGGCUAUCCGCCUGAUCUCUGAUACGUGGCCUUGGUAUUGAAAGCGUGCUUAUGAUAUUAAGGUAUUACGGUCAAAAGGUUAGAACGGAUUACAUUCGUUAAGGAUGUUGACGUA
rnacentral:rRNA from 1 species